AGGGUCUAAAACAGUCUCAGGUAAGGGCUGAUAAAGGCUGGCUCUAGGGUAUGGGGAAUACAAGGGAAGAAAUACAUUUAAAAGGCAUCACAGUGAUAUUAAUAGGUCUUGGGGGAAUGAGAAGAGGGAGGGAUCUAGUUUUGUAGCAGAAAAUGCCCCCUCCUCAGCCAGUCUGCUGGUUGCCCAGGUAACAGUUCCUGUUACAAGUUCCUGUUACUUCUGUCUCUUAGCAAGGGCUGCUCACUGUGAUGCAUAGUGGAAGAACCAAAGACAUCCAAGCACUCUGCCUCUGUAUUUUCCCUUUCAACUCCAUAAAAUCCUGUUUUCAGAAUGAUCCCCAUCUUGUGCCUGUUGAUGUACAAAUCUACCUCCAAAUGCCGGGUGUCGUUUAGGUGUUUCUGCUGCAGUUUGAGGGUGACUGGGUGGACGGGGAAAAAGACUAAAGAAGCCAAGAUAAACUGGGGAGAGGCACGGAGGAUGCGGUUGUAACUAGUUUACUCCUGGGCGUCUGGGGAACAUUUACCGAGCUGUGUAACCCCUGGACCUACCAAACACAGCUUGCAGAGCAGCCUCUGUGGCUGCACUGUUUCUUAAAAUCCUGCUGAGAACCAAGGAUGAAAAUGAAAGAAGCAGGACAGAGGCGGUUUAAGGCAACAGAAACUGAUCGUUUGGGGGAUACACAGCAGAAAGAGGAAGGAGGAUAGCGUGUACUUCUCCGACUCUAAGGAUUGCUAUUCAGCAAGAAAAAAAUCAGACAAUCUCAGUCCUAUGGAGAUCAACUCUCACAUCCCUUUGGCUGGCUGUGGAGGAAUUAUUACGUGGUCACUGUGUUAUCUUCUCUUUUUUGUUCCUCCCCUAAACAAAUGUGAAAUAUUGUAUUCAUCAUCAAUAAAUAUUAGUGGUGUUCCAUUGCAUGUCAA